UAAGGAAUAUUGGUCAAUGGACGCAAGUCUGAACCAGCCAUGCCGCGUGAAGGAUGAAGGUCCUCUGGAUUGUAAACUUCCUUUAUAUGGGACGAAACCUGGGAAUUCCUUCCCAAUUGACGGUACCAUAAGAAUAAGCACCGGCUAACUCCGUGCCAGCAGCCGCGGUAAUACGGAGGGUGCAAGCGUUAUCCGGAUUCACUGGGUUUAAAGGGUGCGUAGGAGGGUAGGUAAGUCAGUGGUGAAAUCUUCGAGCUUAACUCGGAAACUGCCGUUGAUACUAUCUAUCUUGAAUACCGUGGAGGUGAGCGGAAUAUGUCAUGUAGCGGUGAAAUGCUUAGAUAUGACAUAGAACACCAAUUGCGAAGGCAGCUCGCUACACGAAUAUUGACUCUGAGGCACGAAAGCGUGGGGAUCAAACA
rnacentral:rRNA from 1 species